CCUAUAAAAAUCAGGCUGUGAGAGAGUGGCAAAAACGUUGUGGGCACCUUUGGUACUCCAUCUUUCAUGGUCACUACAAGAAAACACGGCUCUCAUCAUCUGGAUCUCUUUGGAAAAAGAGCAUUCUUCUGCAUUAUAUCUCACAAGUUUCCACCAUGGAGCUUGAACAUUUAAACUACUUUUGCCUUUGAAAGGGUAUUUGCUUAACCCGGAAAAGCAAGAAGAACAUGGAUAACAGUAAUAACUGUAGGUGAUUUUUUAUGAUUAACUCAGAUGUCAUAGAUUGGCGUAUUAAAACCAUUUAAUGAGUACUGGUGCACCACCCUUAUACGAAAUUCUGACCUGGCACCGAAAGAAGGAAAGUUAAUGUCCAAUGGAAGGAUUUCGAGGUCCACAUCCACCAGCUGGUGUUCCCGAACCUGCUGUUUCUCUUUGCAAUGGAAGGCUUAAUUUAGAUGGGUAUGGCAAUCGUGGGUCUAGCUUUCCAGGCCUAAAGAAGAGAGGUCAUGCUCUUGGAAAUCGUUCAUGGAUAAAGAUUGAUCAGGAUGGGAACUCAAAGAUUUUGGAACUUGACAAGGUCACUAUAAUGAGACACUGUUCUUUGCCUUCCAGGGAUCUGCGCCUUUUGGACCCCCUUUUUAUUUAUCCUUCCACAAUUUUAGGACGGGAGAAGGCUAUUGUGGUCAGUCUUGAACAAAUUAGAUGUAUAAUUACAGCAGAUGAGGUUAUCCUGAUGAAUUCCGUGGAUGUAUGUGUUGUCCGGUACAUGUCAGAAUUCUGCAAACGUCUUCAGACAAAUCGAGAACAAGCGGAUGACUUGCCAUUUGAAUUCAGAGCUCUGGAAUUGACUUUGGAACUAACUUGCACAUCUCUUGAUGCUCAGGUAAAGGAAUUGGAAUUGGAGGUAUAUCCAGCAUUGGAUGAACUAGCAACAUCUAUUAAUACUCUUAAUCUGGAACGUGUCCGUAGACUCAAGGGCCACCUCCUUGCAUUGACUCAGCGAGUUCAGAAGGUCCAUGAUGAGAUAGAACAUCUCAUGGAUGAUGAUGGCGACAUGGCCGAGAUGCAUCUUACAAAGAAAAAACAAAGGUUGGAAGCUUAUGCUUUAGGUGAUAUAUAUUUUCAAAAUGAUAUCCCAGCUGAGACCAGAGUGGUUUCAAAAUCUGCACCUGGUUCACCAGUGAGGUCAAUUAGUGGAGCCCAGAAAUUGCAGAGAGCAUUUAGCAAUACAAGUCCAAGCAAACAUGGAAGCUUGAUGAGUUCAUCCAGUAACGGCGAGAAUAUUGACGAACUUGAAAUGUUACUCGAAGCUUACUUUGUUGCUAUUGACAACACUCAAAGCAAGUUGUUCACGCUCAAAGAAUACAUAGAUGAUACUGAAGAUUUGAUCAAUAUCAAACUGGGAAAUGUUCAGAACCAACUGAUUCAAUUCGAGUUGCUUCUUACUGCAGCUACCUUUGUGGCUACAAUAUUUGCUGUUGUGACAGGAAUAUUUGGGAUGAACUUUGUAGCCUCAAUUUUUGAUUUACCAUCUGCAUUUAAUUGGGUUCUGAUUAUAACUGGUCUUGCAUGUGUGUUCUUGUAUUUCUCUUUCUUGUUUUAUUUUAGAUACAAGAAGGUCUUUCCAUCGUAAACUUCAUUUUAGAGUAAGCUGCUCCAAUGAAGACAAACUCUUGAUUUGUUUUGUAGAAACCCAUGAUUCAAUUUGAUUUUCCUCUCUCUGGGGGGUCAAUUGAUGCUCUUCCAAGAUUGCAGGGCUUGCUCUAUAUGUUUACAUGCAUCGCACGAGGUUAUCUAUUAAGUUUGGCAUCACUUGCCCUAUAAAGGCAAGCAUCUGGCCAUGGGAAAGCACAGUGUGCCUCGUCCGUAAGUGGCUUUAUUAUGUCAUUUGAUCUGAAGAUCAUUUAUGCGUAUUCUGUAAUUUGAUAAUGUAUCAAGGCCUGUGCUUGUUACAGUACAGGCUUUACCUUCAGGUAAACCUUGCUACACCUGCGUCAAAUGCAGGCUAUCACAUGACGAUAAACUUUUGAAUAAAAUUCUGUUUCUACA